rnacentral:rRNA from 1 species
UGGGGAAUAUUGGACAAUGGGCGCAAGCCUGAUCCAGCAAUGCCGCGUGUGUGAAGAAGGCCUUCGGGUUGUAAAGCACUUUUAUCAGGAGCGAAACGCUGUCGGCUAAUACCCGGCGGAACUGACGGUACCUGAGGAAUAAGCACCGGCUAACUUCGUGCCAGCAGCCGCGGUAAUACGAAGGGUGCAAGCGUUAAUCGGAAUUACUGGGCGUAAAGCGUGCGUAGGCGGUUUCUUAAGUCUGCUGUGAAAUCCCCGGGCUCAACCUGGGAAUGGCAGUGGAUACUGGGAGGCUAGAGUGUGUCAGAGGGUGGUGGAAUUCCCGGUGUAGUGGUGAAAUGCGUAGAGAUCGGGAGGAACAUCAGUGGCGAAGGCGGCCACCUGGGACAACACUGACGCUGAGGCACGAAAGCGUGGGGAGCAAACAGGAUUAGAUACCCUGGUAGUCCACGCCCUAAAGCGAUGCGAACUGGAUGUUGGUCUCAACUCGGAGAUCAGUGUCGAAGCUAACGCGUUAAGUUCGCCGCCUGGGGAGUACGGU